UACGAAGGGGGCUAGCGUUGUUCGGAAUACUGGGCGUAAAGCGUGCGCAGGCGGCGCGUUAAGACAGGUGUGAAAGCCCCGAGCUUAACUUGGGAAUUGCGCUUGUGACUGGCGUGCUGGAGUGUGGCAGAGGGAGGUGGAAUUCCACGUGUAGCAGUGAAAUUCGUAGAUAUUGGGAAGAACACCGGUGGCGAAGGCGGCUCACUGGCUCGUAACUGACGCUCAUGCACGACAGCGUGGGGAUCAAACAGG
rnacentral:rRNA from 1 species